GACGAACGCUGGCGGCGUGCUUAACACAUGCAAGUCGAACGGAAAGGCUCCAGCUUGCUGGAGUACUCGAGUGGCGAACGGGUGAGUAACACGUGGGUAAUCUGCCCUGCACUCUGGGAUAAGCCUGGGAAACUGGGUCUAAUACUGGAUAUGACCUUUCUCCUUAUGGGGUUUGGUGGAAAGUUUUUCGGUGUAGGAUGAGCCCGCGGCCUAUCAGCUUGUUGGUGGGGUGAUGGCCUACCAAGGCGACGACGGGUAGCCGGCCUGAGAGGGUGAUCGGCCACAUUGGGACUGAGAUACGGCCCAGACUCCUACGUGAGGCAGCAGUGGGGAGUAUUGCACAAUGGGCGGAAGCCUGAUGCAGCGACGCCGCGUGAGGGAUGACGGCCUUCGGGUUGUAAACCUCUUUCAGCAGGGACGAAGCGUAAGUGACGGUACCUGCAGAAGAAGCACCGGCUAACUAUGUG
rnacentral:rRNA from 1 species